rnacentral:lncRNA from 1 species
UGAAAUGUAAGGUGCUUUAUUUAAGUACUGGGGAUCAAUAUACUGGGGACAAAUAUACGCAAAAUUCUUUAAAAAUGCUCUGCUUGAUAUAUUUGGCUAGUAAGUGAAAACAACCCCACAAACAAUGAAAUUAUUAUUCAAACAGAAAAUAAAGUAGAAGCCUAAAUAUGACAUAUUCACAUGGUUAAUCAUUAAACUGGGAAUUAACAGGAAUUUUUAUUAUAGUUUAUAAAGCUCUAACAUUUCCCGCUCUCUAAUGAGCUCUUUAGACAAACAAGUCCUAAGUAUCGAUGGGGUCUCUGGAUUUAAAAACAAAUCUUAAAAACAAGAUAGAAAAGUUCAAUAAUGUUAAUCAGAGAGCACCAUUUAUUAGACAGCAUGUGACAAGCAUCCAUUAAUUAGCACAUUGAGGGUUUGUGUAUGCUACAGGAAUCCUGUGUGUCCGGAUUACACAGUAGUGACAGCAACAUUCACCUAUGUGGGACUGUUAAGGACACUGCUGGUUUGCGUUCCUUUUAUGAAAAAUUUCUUUUUUCUUAAAUCUGUUUAUGAAGCAUUAAUAACUAAUGAAUAUAACUAUUUUAUUGAAUAUUUUAUAUCUCUUGUGAUAUGUAAUUUACAAGAGAGCAGCUACUCAACUAGAGUUAAUGUAAAGUGACACUCUUAGUACCAAACCUUUAUAAAUAACUAUUAUUAUAUAAUGCAUUAAAAAAGUGUCACUACUAACCUGAAGUGUCACUUUCAUUUUUCCUUGUAAUGCCUGCAAUAUAGGUUAUGUGUUAAGGAACACUUUAAGUACCAUAGCCACUAUAUUGUGAUAGUUAUGAUGCCAGGAGUGCGCUGCACUACCCAAUAUAAGUAGUCAAACCAUUUUGUUAUGGUUUAACUUCUUACCUGGGGUCCACUGGGUGCUGCUCCUGCCUCCUCUCUGCCUUUGUGAAAGCCGGAAAGUCCUUGGGUCCUUCUGUGUGAGCGAAACCAUGCAGUGCAGGACCAACACCACUGGGCUCAGCUCAGUGAACAGAACAUGUGACUGAGUGGAGGCAGGGAACGGUGCCCAAGGAACUCCAGGUAAGUAAAACUGUUACUAAACUACUGGCACCAUAACCACUAUAGUGUGCCAUGGUGGUUAUGGUGCUUGGAUUGUUCCUUUAUUAGCACAUACUUAUUCAUAGUUUUACACAAAACAGGGUUUCUAUAAACUGUGAAUUAUCAAAGAACUAACCAAAGGAUUUCAAAUUGCAGGCAAAAAUGCAGCUUAACAAAUAGCUGCAAUUGGCAACAAUUUCCAGUUUGAGUACAUUGGUCUAAAAUGUUGUAUUUCCUUGUCCAUUCCUGACAAAUUCCAGUAUUGUGAAUAUAACUGAUACUUUUAGAAAGAGGAUGGCUCAUAAGAUUUAAAAGUUUCUUCGAUUAUCACAAAAUCCUUCCAGGAAACACUGGUUACCUCUUCUGUGGGUUGUUAGAGAAAAUGAGAGCAUUUAAGACCUAGCAAUUACCUGCCAUACUUGUAAACUAGGGGAAUGAGGGUCUACAGCAGUGGUUCCGAACCCAGUCCUCAAGAACCCUCUAACAGUCCAGGAUUUAGGGAUUACCAAGUUGUGUCUAAGGUGUUUUUAGCAAAAAAAACAAAAACACUUUAGACAACAGAGUAAUCCCUAAAUCCUGGGCUGGUAUGGGGUACUUGAGGACUGGGUAGGAAACCCCUGGUCUACAGACU